CGGACGGGUGAGUAACACGUGGAUAACCUACCUAUAAGACUGGGAUAACUUCGGGAAACCGGAGCUAAUACCGGAUAAUAUAUUGAACCGCAUGGUUCAAUGGUGAAAGACGGUUUUGCUGUCACUUAUAGAUGGAUCCGCGCCGCAUUAGCUAGUUGGUAAGGUAACGGCUUACCAGGCAACGAUGCGUAGCCGACCUGAGAGGGUGAUCGGCCACACUGGAACUGAGACACGGUCCAGACUCCUACGGGAGGCAGCAGCC
rnacentral:rRNA from 1 species